AAUAAACCAAUUUUUCACUUUUUACCUUCAAUUUUUGACUCUUCGUCUUAUUCAAAAUUUUUUUGUGAUUGAUAUUUUUGUUUUUAUUAGAUGAUAAAUCAUGAAUAGUACUUUAUGUGUGACUAAUUUUUUUUCUAAUUUUCUAAAAAAUUUUCAAAUAAAACGGAUGAUCAAACGUUGGACACGGAAACCGGAGAAUUCGUGUUUU
rfam:Oryza brachyantha chromosome 4, whole genome shotgun sequence.